AAGUCGAACGAUGAAGCCCAGCUUGCUGGGCGGAUUAGUGGCGAACGGGUGAGUAAUACGUGAGUAACCUGCCUUUAACUCUGGGAUAAGCCUUGGAAACGGGGUCUAAUACCGGAUACGACCAACCCUCGCAUGAGGUGUUGGUGGAAAGGGAWUUUGUACUGGUYUUAGAUGGGCUCACGGCCUAUCAGYUUGUUGGUGAGGUAACGGCUCRCYAAGGCGASGACGGGUAGCCGGCCUGAGAGGGUGACCGGCCACRCUGGGACUSAGASRCGGSMCAGACUCCUASGGGAGGCRGCAGURGGGAAURUWGCWCMAURGGCGCMAGCCUGAUGCAGCGACGCCGCGUGAGGGAUGACGGCCUUCGGGUUGUAAACCUCUUUCAGCAGGGGAGAAGCGAAAGUGACGGUACCUGCAGAAGAAGCGCCGGCUAACUACGUGCCAGCAGCCGCGGUAAUACGUAGGGCGCGAGCGUUGUCCGGAAAUUAUUGGGCGUAAAGAGCUUGUAGGCGGUUUGUCGCGUCUGCUGUGAAAGCCCGGGGCUUAACCCCGGGUUUGCAGUGGGUACGGGCAGACUAGAGUGCAGUAGGGGAGACUGGAAUUCCUGGUGUAGCGGUGAAAUGCGCAGAUAUCAGGAGGAACACCAAUGGCGAAGGCAGGUCUCUGGGCUGUAACUGACGCUGAGAAGCGAAAGCAUGGGGAGCGAACAGGAUUAGAUACCCUGGUAGUCCAUGCCGUAAACGUUGGGCACUAGGUGUGGGGAACAUUCCACGUUUUCCGCGCCGUAGCUAACGCAUUAAGUGCCCCGCCUGGGGAGUACGGCCGCAAGGCUAAAACUCAAAGAAAUUGACGGGGGCCCGCACAAGCGGCGGAGCAUGCGGAUUAAUUCGAUGCAACGCGAAGAACCUUACCAAGGCUUGACAUAUACUAGACCGCCUCAGAGAUGGGGUUUCCCUUCGGGGCUGGUAUACAGGUGGUGCAUGGUUGUCGUCAGCUCGUGUCGUGAGAUGUUGGGUUAAGUCCCGCAACGAGCGCAACCCUCGUUCUAUGUUGCCAGCACGUAAUGGUGGGGACUCAUAGGAGACUGCCGGGGUUAWCUCGGAGGAAGGUGGGGAUGACGUCAAAUCAUCAUGCCCCUUAUGUCUUGGKCUUCACGSCUGCUAYAAUGGCCGGUACAAAGGSUUGCGAKACUGUGAGGUUGAGCUAAUCCCAAAAAGCCGGUCUCAGUUCGGAYYGGGGWCUGCAACUCGACCCCAUGAAGUCGGAGUCGCUAGUAAUCGCAGAUCAGCAACGCUGCGGUGAAUACGUUCCCGGGCCUUGUACACACCGCCCGUCAAGUCACGAAAGUUGGUAACACCCGAAGCCGAUGGCCUAACCCCUUG
rnacentral:rRNA from 1 species